GUGGAUGUAGCUCAGUUGGUAGAGCCCCGGUUUGUGGUACCGGUUGUCGUGGGUUCGAACCCCAUCAUUCACC
rnacentral:tRNA from 1 species